CUGUAGUAGUGAUAGUUUUGCAAUAUAUUUCAGUCCAUGCAACUAUUCAUAACCAUGUGGUCUUUUGAAGUGUCACUUUUCGUUUCCAUCAGGAAGUUGUGGCAAACUGACAUUGAAUGUAAAAUUGGUUGAUGAUAAGUGUCGCUUUAGCCGAAUUGAGUUAUUUUGUCACGGUUUUAAUAUUAAUCAGUUGUUGAAAUGACUAGUAUUCCGACCGAUGGCAUAUGACAUCACCAUCUUCUUGAUCUGGAUGAUCGUUACAGAAUCACCCACCAACCAAGGACGAAGCAGCGUGGUAUCUGGCAGCAGCGAGUUCUGGACUCCUGGACUUUGGAGGAGAUUUUGGACAGAGAGGUACCCUGGGCACAGGCUGGGGAUUAUCGCCGCCACAGGGAAGAGUUGGAGGCAGCCAAAGCAGAGCAGUAGCAUUUUGAGGAGUUGGCACGGCAGCGCAACAGGGACGAGAGGCAGCCCCAAAAAUGUAUUUUUGCUAGUUGUGUACAUCAAUGAAAAUGCAUUUUUACAAUUCAAGGCAAACGUGAGGUUGAAUACAUUUCAUAAUGCACUGUUGCUAUAUUUUACCAUUGUGAAGGUUGCUUGUUUUUUUUAUUACCAUGGAGAACAUGAUUUGCAUGCUUGUGGAGAGCUUUGAAUGUUUCUAAUCAAAGUUGAAUAAAGCCUUUUUGGGUCAUUUUA